UACGUAGGGUGCAAGCGUUGUCCGGAAUUAUUGGGCGUAAAGAGCUCGUAGGCGGACUGUCACGUCUGCUGUGAAAAGCUGGGGCUUAACCCUGGCCUUGCAGUGGAUACGGGCAGACUAGAGGUAGGUAGGGGAGAAUGGAAUUCCCGGUGUAGCGGUGAAAUGCGCAGAUAUCGGGAGGAACACCGGUGGCGAAGGCGGUUCUCUGGGCCUUACCUGACGCUGAGGAGCGAAAGCGUGGGUAGCGAACAGG
rnacentral:rRNA from 1 species